GGAGGGGGUGAAGGUGUUUAAAUAGUAUAACAUUUUCUUAAGAUUAAUUAAUAUAUAAAAAAGUUCUUGGCAAUAUUCUAUGUUGGAAUUCUAGAAGAGAACUUACUCUUCAUGUAAUCAUUUUCUAAUCAUAGGUCUACCAAACCAGUUGGGAAUGUAGAGUAGAAGGUGUGGGUUCCCGAGAACCCAUACCCACUACUGUAAGGUUUAAAUUACAUAGAAAAAUCGUCAAAAGUUAUAAAUAUUGAUAGGUGGGAACCUAUAACUAAACCAAGGGAUAGUGACAGCAAAGGAACCCUUGGAAACCCACAAGUUUAAAAUUCUGGAUCUGCCUUGUACCAAACUUGCCACCUUCACAAGUUGCUUAAAAAAGUUAUACGUAUUCUCAGUUACGUAUUCUCAGUCCCAUAUAUAAAAAUUACAGAAUGGGAGAUUUCAAAUAUUUUUGAUUUUAUUUAAAAUUUACAAAAUUGGAAUUAAAAGUACAAUUAUAUUUGAUGUUCCUUAAUUGCUUUAUACAAGUCAAAUGUCCUCAUGGAAAACAAAAGAUCGAAACAUCGAAACAUCCAAAGUCCAAAGUAAUUUUUGGAUUUUUGUCUAAUUAAUUAUCAAUUCAUCAAUCAUCAUAUAUAAUACUCCCCAAAAGUCAAAUAUUUGGAAAACAAUAUAUAAUCUAGAUUCUACAUGCAUAGAAAAUUCUAGCUGGCCAUUCAUCAUUCAUGAUUUUUAUUUUUAACCAACAACCGUUUUUAAAAUGAACUCCAUUUAUUGUAUGGUACCAAUCAAGAAAAUUAAAGAUGACAAAGAAAAUGCAAUUUUUUUGCUUGUUUCUUUCUUGUUUGUUAACACAUCUCUAUCAAUUGUCCAAUCUCUAGUUUAUUUAUUCUCUAGUAAACAAGAAUUUAUGUGGAUAAGUUAAUGAGACAUGUCAAUUUGACAACCUAUAACCAACCAAAGCAUCUUCUGAAAAAAGAAAUAGUAAGAUUUUUUUUCGUUUUCAUUCGGUGUCCGGUGCCUACAAUAUAGUUCGACUAAUUCGGAUUUGCUUCGGGUAGGGUCCCAUUCCCUACCAAAGCUCGAACCUGAGACCUCUUGUCAAGGGUUGAGCAGCCCCAUCCACUGCACCACAUUCUUUGGUAUUAAAAAAAUACUAAGAUUAUUUAUCAAUAAUUCAAAUAUAUACUCCUGUUCUAAAACAAAAACAAAAAAAAGAGAUUAUCCCAAAAUAAGUAUCGCUUUAUGAAUUCAAAGCAAAAAUAGUGCUCGAUUUUCAAGAAACAACUAAAGAAUAUGAGUGCGUUAGCAAAAAUUAUAUCUAGUAUUUUUUUUUAAUGGGCGUGAAAUGAACUAAAACAACACUUAUUUUUGGGAUUGAAGGAGUAUAUAUAUCUUCUACAAAAAAAAUCAUUCAUUCAGAAUAUGUAUAUAUUUAAUUAAAUCAAUGCAAGGUAAAAACUCACUUUAACAUACAUAAAAUGUUUUUACAACAAUCCAUCUAUAUACUGCGUUGUAUAAAUCAGAAAUAACGUUGUUUUCUUUAUAACAUAUACGAAUGUACGUUUAGACAAACUAUAUUGUGACACCAAUAUAUAUAUAUACCCCUAGCUUGAUACUUUUAGCCAUUAAAGUACCUUUAAAAUAUUAAGGGUAUUUUUAGCCAUUAAGAUGGCGAAGCAUCCAUUGUGGCAUCACAGUAUUAGGUGCAGCUUGCUGCUGCUGCUGUGAAUUAGCUCCUUCUACUUCACCAUUAUCUACUCCUGCAGUAUUCUGGUAUGCUUCCCUGCAUUUUUUGCAUUUUAAUGUCACAUAUAUACCAUAUACAUACAACAACAACGUACCGGUGUAUUCCUACAAAGUAAGGUCUGGAGAGGGUAAAGUGUACGCAGCCCAUACCACUACCUCAAAUGAAGUAGAGAGGCUGUUUCCGAUAGACUCUGAUUCAGGACAGACAUCAGUAUAACAAACAAAAAAUAUAAAGAGAAAAACACACACAUAUAUAUAUAUAUAUUGAGAGAGACACACACUAGUAUUCAAUUCAAUAAAAUCCAAUACUUUUGAUACGAACAUAAACAUAUAAUGUAAAACUACCAAAAAGUUUCAAUAAUAAAUAAAUUUCGAACAUAUUGGUUCAAAAGUACGAUGGAUAUAGUGCUAAAAAUCGCGACAAAAAAGAUAUAUAUAUAAAGCCCCGAGGGCAUAUGCAUCACAUUUUUCUAGGGUACUUCAUUUAAUUGGUUAAAACAUUUAAGUGACAAUAUAAGAACUUUUAUACACUUCAAUUACAGUAGGAGUAUUAGUAUAUGUAGAGAAUAGGAGAAGAAAGGUAUAUUUAAAAAAUUUUUUGUUAGCCCAAAAUCGUUAACUAAGAUCGAAAAAUUCAACUAAUAAGAGCAAGCUAGAAAGGUGAAGGAAAAUAUUAAAAAGGGAGAACUUGGAUUUGGAAGAAGAUUACUUGAAU
rnacentral:lncRNA from 1 species